rnacentral:tRNA from 1 species
GGGGGUAUAGCUCAGUGGUAGAGCAUUUGAUUGCACAUCAAGAGGUCUCAGGUUUAAAUCCUGGUGCCCCCA